rnacentral:rRNA from 1 species
CAGCAGCCGCGGGAAUACGUAGGUCCCGAGCGUUGUCCGGAUUUAUUGGGCGUAAAGCGAGCGCAGGCGGUUAGAUAAGUCUGAAGUUAAAGGCUGUGGCUUAACCAUAGUACGCCUUGGAAACUGUUUAACUUGAGUGCAAGAGGAGAGAGUGGAAUUCCAUGUGUAGCGGUGAAAUGCGUAGAUAUAUGGAGGAACACCGGUGGCGAAAGCGGCUCUCUGGCUUGUAACUGACGCUGAGGCUCGAAAGCGUGGGGCGCAAACAGGAUUAGAUACCCGAGUAGUCCCUGUCUCUUAUACA